CAUUGACAGCCGCUAGAGGAGCUGCUGCGAUUCUAAGACUGAACGUCUAUAGGAAAGCAUUGAGUAAUGCUUUCCUAUGGGCGGUUUGAAUGCCCGUGCAGCUCUUGCCACACAUGCGCAUUCGGAGCUGAGAGGCGGAGGGAUACCCAGCGCCAAGGGAGUCCGGCGCUGGAGAAAGGUAAGUGCUGAAGACACACACACACUCACACUCUCACGAACAGACG